rnacentral:lncRNA from 1 species
ACUAACCGGUCUAUUACUACUAACCUUUAGGCACAAAGAAUGUCUUUCGAUGUGAGUGAUAAAUAGAGAAGACUGCAACCGUAGUCUCCUUCUAACCUUGGUAAGGAUGAUCUACUGUUCUAAUGGGGAGGCUAACGGAAUCUAGACACCACAAAGGAUGUUCAACCCGCACCUAUAAACCCUAUCCUUCCUGCUAACGAGAUGUGAUCUACAAAGGUAGCUCGGAAUUGUCACGUUCCUCACUACUACCACGGUCUAGCUAGUCAGGGAAUAUCUAUGAGUACCCCAGCCUAAACACCGCAUUUACGCCAGCAAUGAUUACUCUAAACUCUACGCGAAGAGAUUAAAGUAAACUCAUAAACCAUAAGAACAAUAAAACAAGAACUUACUAGAAUUUAGAAGUCGAAUUACUGAAGAAUCCUAGGAGCAAGCUUCGGGUUAGGAGAACUUGAUCCCGCAGGUACAAGCUUGGAGUAGACACCGACAGGCCGGGCUUCCUCCACUCUACACCUCCACUCUAUCUCUCUCAAUCUAGUAGAAACUAGAAGAUCUAUUUCUACCUUACAUUGAUUGCUAAGCCUAAAAAGAAAUAUUAAUUAGAGAAGAGGUUUUCCUUCGAGGGCACCCCUCAGUCUCUAUGAUAAUUUCUUCAUGUCUUGUCCAGGGGCCAGGGGGGCCUUGCUUAUAUAGUCCUCCCCUUCUAUGCGUUUUUGGGUCGAUAGGCGAGGUGGUACUAUGUUUUUCUUGAUCCAAUAGGUCGGUGGAAUGUCCGGAGCGAAGAGAGUACUGAUCUGGCUCCAGAGGGGGGCGGGCGCCCAGGUCCUCAGGGCGGGCGCCCUGGGCCUGGCCCCGUUUCGCCUCCGCUUCGGUCUCGUGGCUUCUGGAGUCUUCUAGAUGGUGUAAAAUUGCGCGGUGCGUUGAUAUCUCUAUGUAAUCCCGACAUGUGGGCCUUUCUUCCUUAUUUCCUGAUAACCCCCUGCAGAAACAGAUAAACAACAAAACUCGUGGAAUUCUGUCAGAUCAAACCCUAAUUCUAGGUGUUGGUUGCAUAUUGGUCCUUUCUCUUGUUUAUUUGAUAAUUAAAAUUGAUACUUAAGAACCGUCAACAAAUACCCCCAUACUUAGGCUUUUACUCGUCCUCGAGAAAAGGAUGGUUAAGAAAAAUAUCUGGGGUAAACAUUUUAAAAACAUUCUUUAUAUAAUUGCAGGGUGUUAAAAUUCCACUGUGUACCAUAGUCAGGGAAGUAUAUGGUUAAGAGUAAAGAUCCUUUCUUCUCAAUCCUAUCACUUGGAUUUUUUGUAUAUAUUUUUGAAAGAAAGUUAGCAUACCUUUUGAUCCUCAUAGGUUCUCUCAAAUCACUCAUUAUCUUUUAUAUAUAUAUCUCACUGAGGUUGUUUUAUUUUGCAAAAAUUCUCAAGCAUUCUUACUUUGCAUUUAUUGCCUCAUCAAAACGGGAUCCGAGGAGGGGAAUGUCAUACUCUUAGAUCAAAGACUUUGGAAAUUUAAAACUUUGUCAACUCUUGCUGGCAUAUUGCUUAUUAGAGGGACCAUGGGCUAUCAUUUUUUUUCUCUUUUCUCUUUUCUUCCUUUUUUUAAGUGGAUACCGAGGUACCCCUAAUUCUACUGCCGGACACUUGUCCAUUUUUUCUGCGAGGUUGUCGAGCACUUGCUCCUUUUUAUUUCCUCGAAAUAUCUCUAUUUUUGCAUAGCACAUGCCUCUAAUGCAAUAAUACUUCGGAAGAGUGAAUCUUACUGAAAUAAUGUCUUGAUCUUGGGAGCAUGAUAAAUCUCUCAACAAGGGUCUAACUCAUUUUGAACAAACUCAAUACAGAGUAGAUAGCUUUUAUAAUCAUAAUUAAUAUUUUUAGUUUUAUCAGGCAUAUAAAACAGUGAGGAUGGUAGCUAGAAUUUUGAAUAUUUUGAAAUAAAUUCUCCAAGCAACAAUGAUAUCAAGAUUAAGAAACUCAUACUCUACCAUUCCAUAUUGACUUACGUAACACAGGGUUUUAAAAUGAUUUUAUAAUAAUUGCAAUUUUUCAGGAAAUACCAUAGAUUGAGAUUAAUCAUGAUUAGAAAUAUUUUUAAUCUUUUCAUCUUAUCAUGUCGGAAACAAUAUUCUACAUAAUCCAAAAUAAAUGUAUGUGUAAAGUGUGCAGAGUGUGUACCUGAAUCGUGGAGUGAUGUAGUUGGAGUGUGUUUGGCAUGUCAAGGGAUCUCCCCCAUACUUGUUUUCUGCUUUCUUGCACAAAGAUAAAGUAGAGACACACAAGACAUAAUAAUAAUAAUAAUACUCUUUAUUAAUCUUGAGGCAUUUAUUACAAAAGACUGAUAGCAAACUAAUAAUAGCAAACUUAAACUGAAUUUAAAGAUAGAUGACUAAGAUGCAUUGCCUCAAGGUCUAAUCUAGAUAACUUAGCGGCGCUCUAAUUCUUUGAUCUUCUUGUUGGCACUGGCAAGAUCCUGCCUAAGGCCUAGUAUAAUGGUGUUGUGGUUAGAGAGCUGCCUAGUGAGGGAAUUAAUCGAGGACUGGAGGUCUAUGAUAACUCUAUCUAGCCUGCGAACUUCCUCAUCAAUAUCCAUUAUAGUCUUGCGACGCUUGGGAGGUGUCUCAAAAGCAUUGAGAGAGUGCUUCGGGGCUGCCUUUGGAGGGAUGAAACGGACUUUGGCUGCUCUAAUCCCUUCAAAGUAAGGCCUUUCCUCCUCCGUAGUGUAGCGAACACUGCUGAUCUCGCCGCUCCGGUUGGUCUUGACUCCAACGACCCUCUCAUUGGGUCUAGGUGGAAGGAUCCUUGUGCCGGUUGGCACCUUGAUAGUGGUCUUCGUCUUGGAUGAUGAUCCUGUGAGGAGUAGGGGUUGUGGCGGUGCGGUGAGAACUGGUUGAGCAUGGUAAGAUUGGGCGGAGCUGCAUUGGCGUAAUGGCAUGGCUUCUAGCUAACGCUCUGUGUUAGCCGGGACGAGAGCACGGACAUCGGGGUCUUCCACAGGCUCCAUGUUGAGGUUGAAGGGGACGACUUCCCAAUCGUCGUGGUACUUCUCAGCCAUUGGAGUAGCAAGGAACUAAUCAAACUUUAAUUGAAGGAGAGCUAAUCAAGCUCUAAUUGAAGGAGAGAAAGCUUGGUGGCUUGGUGUUUGAAAACUGAGGUCAGGGGUCUGUUUAUUUAGGGGUCAAAAGGGUGCCUUUAUGGGUUGUUCGGGUUGCUCCCGUCGACGUGCGUGCGAAACUUUCCAUCCGAGGGAUUAUUCGGAUCACCCUUAGUGCAUUUUCCAUAACAGAGAAAGUCGGGACCGAGGGGGAACAGGGGCUGGGCGCCCGCCCACUUGAUCUGGGCGCCCGCCCUCUCUCUGGCCCCUCUGUGGGCCCACUUCUCCGAGCGCGUUCUGGAUGCGGAAUUAUUUAGAAAAAUAUAUAUAUGACCCAAAACCAUCAGACCAAAAGUGUCGGGCUCUAAUUCUCCAUGGGAAGGUAAAAAUGGACUACGUCUAUUUCUUCAAAUUCCUCAUUGGGCUCUAAAAAUAAUUUAAGACGUUGACCAUUUACCUUGAAUAACGUACCUUCGCUAUUUUGAAGUGUGAUAGCUCCGUGGGAUGAUGAAUUGAUUACCUUGAAUGGUCCUUCCCAUUUGCUCCGGAGUUUUCCAUGCCCGAAAAGCUUCACCCUGGAAUUAAAAAGUAAUGCCUUAUCUCCGGGUGUGAACUCCUUCUUCUUGAUUCUCUUGUCAUGCCACCUCUUGACUCUUUCUUUGUAGAUCUUUGAAUUGUGAUAUGCCUUCUCUCGCCAUUCUUCCAAUUCUGAUAGUUGCAUUCUUCUAUAAUCUCCAGCAACAUCUAAGUCCAUAUUCCAUCUCUUUAUGGCCUAGUGUGCUUUGAAUUCUAGUUCAACAGGUAGAUGGCAAGUCUUCCCGUACACCAAUUGGUAUGGAGACAUUCCGAUUGGGGUCUUGUAUGCUGUCCGGUAUGCCCAGAGUGCAUCGGGUAGCUUGUCUUUCCACGCCGUUCCCAUUUCAUUUACUGUCUUCUGAAGAAUAUUCUUGAUUUGUUUGUUGGAAGUCUCUGCUUGGCCACUUGUCUGAGUAUGAUAGGGGGUAGCGACGUUGUGACGGAUUCCAUGUCUUGAUAGAUAUUGCUUGAAGCGUUUGUCGAUGAAGUGUGCUCCUCCAUCACUUAUCACUACUCUGGGGACUCCAAAUCUUGGAAAUAUAAUUUCUUCAAACAAUCCUCUUUGAACUGACGUUGUCGGCAUGCUUGCAAGGUAAUGCUUCUACCCACUUGGAGACAUAGUCAACUGCCACCAAGAUGUACUCACACUUCUUUGAUGGUGGAAAUGGACCCAUGUAGUCUAUUCCCCAGACAUCAAAGAGCUCAAUCUGAAGGUUGUUGGUGAGUGGCAUUGCAUCCCUUGUAUUUAUGUUUCCGUGUCUUUGACAUGGCCCACAUCUUCUGAUAUAUUGCUUCGUGUCUUCAUACAUUGUAGGCCAAUAGAAUCCACACUGCCAGAUCUUUGAAUGUAUACGGAAUGCUCCAUAGUGACCUCCAUAUGGUGACGAAUGACAUAUGUCGAUGAUCUUCCAUCCUUCCUCAGUGGUCUCACAUCUCCUGAGUAAGCCAUCAGAGCAUACUCGGAAGAGGUAUGGCUCAUCCCAUAUAUGUGAAUGACUUUCUUGAAUAAGCUUCUUCUUGUUUGCUCCUGGUGGUACAUACCCUGAAACCAUAAAAUUAACAAUAUCUGCAUACCAGGGGUCAGACCUGUUAAUCCCGUAGAGCAUGUCGUCCCGGAGUGAAUCACUGAUGGGGGUUUCCUGUGGACUCUUAAAAUACAUUCUAGACAAGUGAUCAGCAACAGAAUUUUCUACUCCCUUUUUAUCUUUUAUUUCUAUGUCAAAUUCUUGGAGUAAUAAGAUCCAUCUAAUCAGGCGAGGUUUAGCAUGAGCAAAUAUUUUAAUGCAGCAUGAUCAGUGUAAACAGUUAUUUUAGCUCCAACUAAAUAAGAUCUAAAUUUAUCAAUGGCAAAGACAACAGCCAGAAGCUCUUUUUCAGUGGUUGCAUAGUUAAGUUGAGCUCCUGUCAAAGUUUUACUGGCAUAAGCAAUUGCAUGAUGCUUCUUGUCUUUAGUUUGUCCUAAUACUGCCCCCACAGCAUAAUCACUAGCAUCACACAUAAUUUCAAAAGGUAACGACCAAUCAGGGGGUUGAAUGAUUGGUGCAGAGAUGAGUGCUUUCUUUAAUAAAUUGAAAGAUGUUAGACAUGCAUCAUCAAAUUCGAAAGGAGCAUCCUUGGCUAGCAAAAGAGUAAGUGGUCUAGCAAUAAAUGAAAAAUCUUUUAUGAAUCUACGAUAAAAACCAGCAUGGCCAAGAAAGCUUCGAAUUCCUUUUAUGUUUACAAGUGGAGGUAGUUGUUCAAUUACUUCAAUUUUUGCUUUGUCUACCUCAAUCCCUCUUUCAGACACUAAGUGUCCUAGCACUAUUCCUUCCCUAACCAUAAAAUGACAUUUUUCCCAAUUAAGGAUUAAGUGCUUUUCUUCACAUCUUUGCAAAACCUUGUCUAAGUUUUCAAGACAAUUAUCAAAAGUUUUUCCAUAAACAGAGAAAUCAUCCAUGAAAACUUCCAUAAUCUCUUCAAUCAUAUCAGAAAAUAUAGACAUCUUGCAUCUUUGAAAAGAAGCUGGUGCAUUACAUAACCCAAAAGACAUUCUACGAUAAGCAUAAGUUCCAUAAGGGCAUGUAAAAGUGGUUUUGCUUUGAUCAUCAGGAUGGAUCGGGAUUUGAUGAUACCCUGAAUAUCCAUCUAAGAAAUAGAAGAAUGAAUGGUUUGCUAACCGCUCUAGCAUCUCAUCUUUGAAAGGUAAAGGAAAGUGAUCCUUUCUCGUAGCUUUGUUUAGUUUUCUAUAGUCUAUGCACAUCCGCCAUCCUGUGACGGUGCGUUGCGGAAUUACCUCGUUCUUUUCAUUCAUAAUAACAGUCAUGCCUCCCUUUUUAGGCACAACUUGGACUGGGCUCACCCACUCACUGUACGGCACAGGAUAUAUAAUCCCUACAUGCAGCAACUUUAUAACUUCCUUUUUAACUACCUCUCUCAUAGUGUUGUUAAGUCUACGUUGGGGUUCUCGAGAGGGUGUAACAGAAGGAUCUGUUGGAAUACGAUGGGUACAAAUCAUAGGACUGAUUCCUGUAAGAUCUUGAAGUGAGUAGCCGAAAACUGAGUGAUGUUUCUCAAGAAUGGUCAUUAAUCGCAGAGUUUGAUCCUGAGUGAGUUUAUCGCUAAUGAUCACAGGGAACUCUGGAUUAUUGUUUAGGAAAGCAUAGGUAAGAUCGGGUGGUAAAGUUUUAAGCUCUAUGGGGGGUCUAGGUGUUUCUGCAAACUCAUCUAAGGGUUCAGGCUCGGAAGGUUCGUCUUCUUCUUCUGUGAAGAUAGGAGUUUCGUCUUCUAAGUCUGGUUCAUCUAAAAGCUAUAGAGAUGCAGCCUUUACUUCCUCCAUAGGAUCAGGCAAAAGAUAUGACUCGGCCUUAUUAUUUAAGGAGUGUGAAAAUAUUAUUGGGAAUUUAAAGGUUUUUCCAAAAGAAAUGUGUAGCUUUCCAGUAUGACCUUCAUAAAGGAGUCUUCUAAAAGGUUGUCCUAUCAACAGGUCGAAGUCCCAUGUAUCAAAGAUAUAGAAGUUCAAAUGAACCAUGGAGCCUUCUACCGUAAGAGGCAGGACAUUAAUAAUUCCAAGACUGGGGACUAAUCGUCCCGAAGAUUCCUUUAUGACCUUUGUUCUGGGGGUUAAGACAAGAUUUUUAAAUAGUUUAAGUGCAAAAGAUUUAGACAUGAUGUUGAUCCCCACAACUGGAUUAUAAAGAGCAUUAAAUCGAUCAGAAUUAUAAGCACAGCGUAUAAUUAUAGAGGGUGUGUCCAAACGGAUCACAUCAGAGGAAAGCUCUGAUUCCUCCAACCAUUCGCUACUCAUUACUGAGAUAAGCUCUCUCAAUUGAUAUUCACUUGGCAAAUAAAUGCUAAACUGGCCGUUUUGGGGUUUGUCAAUAGAAUGGUAGUUUGAAAUAUUUCCAAAAUCGGCAAAAAGAUCGGAUUCUAUAUCCAGCAUGAAGUCCGGUAGUGGAAUUUCUUCCUCUUGUGGCUCAGAACUUGGGAUAACUAAAGUAGAUGAAGAGUUUAGCAGAGUGUCUACUUCGGCUUCGUAGGUUUCAUCAUGAAGGGUAUUAUCCAUCUCAGCUUCUAGGAUUCUAUCUAGGAUCACUCUAGCUUCAUCAGUAGGGAUGCGAAAGAAAGAACCUCUAGACAUUGUGUGAAGCAUUUGUUUGUGAUUUUUGUGAAGACCUCGAAAAAAGUGAAACAAAAGAACAGGGUCUUCAAGAUUAAGGUUUGGACCAGAUUCUAAAAGAUCAGAAAAACGUUUCCAGGAUUUUCCCAAAGUUUCAUUAUCUUUUUGUUUAAAAGAUAGGACUUCGAGUCUAAGGAUGGCUAUACGGUCAAGGGAAUAGAAAUCUAGACAAAAGUUGGCUCGUAAAACUCCCCAUUCACCUUGUUGUUGACUUACCUUCUGACUGUACCAUUGUCUAGCUUCUCCCCUUAGAGAAAAAGGAAAAAGCUUCCAAUGUAAAGUCUUAUCAGAAAUGCCUUCAAUGCGAAGACAAUCACAUGUUUGCUCAAAAUCUCUAAUAUGAAGGUAUGGGUUUUCGUCUUCCUUUCCCAAAAAAGAUAGGUUUUGAAUCAUGGCAAUCAACCUAGAACUUAACUUAUACUGGGAUGUUUGGAUAGGCUGUGAUGAUUCCCAUGGUAAAAGGUCAGUUGCUAAAGGGAUUCCAGACUCAUGGAUCGAUUUAGAAUUUUGGUUUUCCAUAAGGUAAGAAUAAAGAAAAUAAAGGAAGAAUAUAAAAGAUAAGAAAAGAUAAAAGUAUAGAUACAAGCUAAUAGUAAGACUCAGGUUAUCUCAGCAACCGUCUUUCUCCCCGGCAACGGCGCCAGAAAUGCUUGUUGAUAUUUAGGAACGCAAUAAGGAAUUGAUCCGCAAGCGCACGGAUAUCGGUGAGCAUUUCACCCGGGAGGUUAUCCAGAGUAUCGUAUUUAUUUUUUUACCACUAGGAGAAAGAGUGCAUCUGACUAACGUGUCUAUUACUACUAACCUUUAGGCACAAAGAAUGUCUUUCGAUGUGAGUGAUAAAUAGAGAAGACUGCAACCGUAGACUCCUUCUAACCUUGGUAAGGAUGAUCUACUGUUCUAAUGGGGAGGCUAACGGAAUCUAGACACCACAAAGGAUGUUCAACCCGCACCUAUAAACCCUAUCCUUCCUGCUAACGAGAUGUGAUCUACAAAGGUAGCUCGGAAUUGUCACGUUCCUCACUACUACCACGGCCC